rnacentral:rRNA from 1 species
GCUAAGAAUAUUCCGCAAUGGGCGAAAGCCUGACGGAGCGACGCCGCGUGGAGGAUGAAGGCCUUCGGGUUGUAAACUCCUUUUCUUGGGGAAGAAUAAAACCGGUAGUAACUGACCGGUUGAUGACGGUACCCAGGGAAUAAGCCCCGGCUAAUUACGUGCCAGCAGCCGCGGUAAUACGUAUGGGGCGAGCGUUGUUCGAAUUUACUGGGCGUAAAGGGCUUGUAGGUGGUGGGAUAAGUCGGAUGUGAAAUCCCCGGGCUUAACCCGGGAACUGCAUUCGAAACUAUCUCGCUAGAGUACCGGAGAGGGAAACGGAAUUCCUGGUGUAGGGGUGAAAUCUGUAGAUAUCAGGAAGAACACCGGUGGCGAAGGCGGUUUCCUGGCCGGAUACUGACACUGAGGAGCGAAAGCUAGGGGAGCAAACAGGAUUAGAAACCCUUGUAGUCC